rnacentral:rRNA from 1 species
AACGUAGGAGACAAACGUUAUCCGGAGUUACUGGGCGGUAAAGGGCGUGUAGGUGGUUGCGUAAGUCUGGCGUGAAAUUUUUCGGCUUAACCGGGAAAGGUCGUCGGAUACUGCGUAGCUAGAGGACGGUAGAGGCGUGUGGAAUUCCGGGUGUAGUGGUGAAAUGCGUAGAGAUCCGGAGGAACACCAGUGGCGAAGGCGACACGCUGGGCCGUACCUGACACUGAUGCGCGACAGCAUGGGGAGCAAACAGGAUUAGAACGU